GAUGAAGAACGUAGCGAACUGCGAUAAGUAAUGUGAAUUGCAGAAUUCAGUGAAUCAUCGAGUCUUUGAACGCACAUUGCGCCCCCUGGCAUUCCGGGGGGCAUGCCUGUCCGAGCGUCAUUGCUGCCCUUCAAGCCCGGCUUGUGUGUUGGGUCGUCGUCCCCCCCGGGGGACGGGCCCGAAAGGCAGCGGCGGCACCGCGUCCGGUCCUCGAGCGUAUGGGGCUUUGUCACCCGCUCGAUUAGGGCCGGCCGGGCGCCAGCCGGCGUCUCCAACCUUCUAUUGUACCAGGUUGACCUCGGAUCAGGUAGGGAUACCCGCUGAACUUAAGCAUAUCAAUAAGCGGAGGA
rnacentral:misc_RNA from 1 species